AACGAACGCUGGCGGCAUGCCUAACACAUGCCAGUCGAACGAGACCUUCGGGUCUAGUGGCGCACGGGUGCGUAACGCGUGGGAACCUGCCCUUAGGUUCGGAAUAACUCCCCGAAAGGGGUGCUAAUACCGGAUAAUGUCUUCGAACCAAAGAUUUAUCGCCUUUGGAUGGGCCCGCGUUGGAUUAGCUAGUUGGUAGGGUAAAAGCCUACCAAGGCGACGAUCCAUAGCUGGUCUGAGAGGAUGAUCAGCCACACUGGGACUGAGACACGGCCCAGACUCCUACGGGAGGCAGCAGUGGGGAAUAUUGGACAAUGGGCGAAAGCCUGAUCCAGCGAUGCCGCGUGAGUGAUGAAGGCCUUAGGGUUGUAAAGCUCUUUUACCCGGGAUGAUAAUGACAGUACCGGGAGAAUAAGCGCCGGCUAACUCCGUG
rnacentral:rRNA from 1 species